rnacentral:pre_miRNA from 1 species
UAGGUUUGUCCUGAGUCAAACUUGCUUAAGUAUGACCAACUCUAUAGAAAAUGUGCAAAGAUCUACAACACCAAACACACAUAGUACGGAAAUAUAUUUCAUAAAGAAUCUAAUGAGACUAAUUUGGUGUUCCAAAUGUUCAUAUUUUUUUCCAUAGACUUGGUCAAACUUAAACAAGUUUGACUUAGGACAAACUUAA